GAUGAACGCUAGCGGCAGGCCUAAUACAUGCAAGUCGGACGGGAUCCGGAGUUAAGCUUGCUUAAUUUUGGUGAGAGUGGCGCACGGGUGCGUAACGCGUGAGCAACCUACCCAUAUCAGGGGGAUAGCCCGAAGAAAUUCGGAUUAAUACCGCAUAAUAAUACAGGAUGGCAUCAUCUAGUAUUUAAAUAUUUAUAGGAUAUGGAUGGGCUCGCGUGACAUUAGCUAGUUGGUAAGGUAACGGCUUACCAAGGCAACGAUGUCUAGGGGCUCUGAGAGGAGAAUCCCCCACACUGGUACUGAGACACGGACCAGACUCCUACGGGAGGCAGCAGUAAGGAAUAUUGGUCAAUGGAGGGAACUCUGAACCAGCCAUGCCGCGUGCAGGAAGACUGCCCUAUGGGUUGUAAACUGCUUUUGUCUGGGAAUAAAUGUAAGUACGAGUACUUAUUUGAAUGUACCAGAAGAAUAAGGAUCGGCUAACUCCGUG
rnacentral:rRNA from 1 species